rnacentral:rRNA from 1 species
UAGCUAGUUGGUGAGGUAAUGGCCCACCAAGGCGACGAUCGGUAGCCGGACUGAGAGGUUGAACGGCCACAUUGGGACUGAGACACGGCCCAGACUCCUACGGGAGGCAGCAGUGGGGAAUAUUGCACAAUGGGGGAAACCCUGAUGCAGCGACGCCGCGUGGAGGAAGAAGGUCUUCGGAUUGUAAACUCCUGUUGUUGAGGAAGAUAAUGACGGUACUCAACAAGGAAGUGACGGCUAACUACGUGCCAGCAGCCGCGGUAAAACGUAGGUCACAAGCGUUGUCCGGAAUUACUGGGUGUAAAGGGAGCGCAGGCGGGCGAUCAAGUUGGAAGUGAAAUCCAUGGGCUCAACCCAUGAACUGCUUUCAAAACUGAUUGUCUUGAGUAGUGCAGAGGUAGGCGGAAUUCCCGGUGUAGCGGUGGAAUGCGUAGAUAUCGGGAGGAACACCAGUGGCGAAGGCGGCCUACUGGGCACCAACUGACGCUGAGGCUCGAAAGUGUGGGUAGCAAACAGGAUUAGAUACCCUGGUAGUCCACACCGUAAACGAUGAUUACUAGGUGUUGGAGGAUUGACCCCUUCAGUGCCGCAGUUAACACAAUAAGUAAUCCACCUGGGGAGUACGACCGCAAGGUUGAAACUCAAAGGAAUUGACGGGGGCCCGCACAAGCAGUGGAGUAUGUGGUUUAAUUCGACGCAACGCGAAGAACCUUACCAAGUCUUGACAUCCUGCGACGAUGCUAGAAAUAGUAUUUUCCUUCGGGACGCAGAGACAGGUGGUGCAUGGUUGUCGUCAGCUCGUGUCGUGAGAUGUUGGGUUAAGUCCCGCAACGAGCGCAACCCUUAUGGUCAGUUACUACGCAAGAGGACUCUGGCCAGACUGCCGUUGACAAAACGGAGGAAGGUGGGGAUGACGUCAAAUCAUCAUGCCCUUUAUGACUUGGGCUACACACGUACUACAAUGGCGUUAAACAAAGAGAAGCAAGACCGCGAGGUGGAGCAAAACUCAGAAACAACGUCCCAGUUCGGACUGCAGGCUGCAACUCGCCUGCACGAAGUCGGAAUUGCUAGUAAUCGUGGAUCAGCAUGCCACGGUGAAUACGUUCCCGGGCCUUGUACACACCGCCCGUCACACCAUGAGAGCCGGGGGGACCCGAAGUCGGUAGUCUAACCGCAAGGAGGACGCCGCCGAAGGUAAAACUGGUGAUUGGGGUGAAGUCGUAACAAGGUAACCGUACUAGUACGGCAGCCC